GGGUAUGUAACUCAAGUGGUAGAGCAUAUGCUUAGCAUGCAUGAAGUCCUGGGUUCAAGUCCCAGUACCUCCA
rnacentral:tRNA from 1 species